GAAGGACGCAUGCCACUGCUCAUGUAAAAUGAAAUGCUAGGGUUUCAUGGACUUUCAUCAUAUGAACAAUAUAUGGCUUUCUUCACCUCUUCGCAUCACUCACUGUAAUGAAUGCUAACAACAUGGAAGCCAUAGAUUGUUCAAAUGUUGGAAAUUUCUAUGUUUAUACCUGCGUGGAGAAUCCAUUCAUUAACAGUGCAAGCAAAAUGAUUUUUGGAUACUGUUUAUGCUCUUGUUCAGAUGCUAGGACUUGCAUAACGAAAAGGAGAUGGUAUGCUAUUUCAAGCUUUAAAAUUGAAAUAUUUGCAGACUUGUACUACGGAGAAAAUGGCCCCACAGAGAGGGAUCCGUGCAAGACCAGAAUUCCAGAGCUGAGGAUUACAAAGAUACUACCGGGAUUUGACCCUGCGACCUCGCCUUUCCAAGCCCAGAACUUCCAGUUAGUUUUAUUUCAACUCAACUCCAAAUAAUAGCUUUUCGUCUGUUUAAGAGCUUCAUGUGCACUGUGGUACGCACUGAACAUUCAGAAUGGCUUCUGGAAUAUCAUCUGACCUCAGAAAUUUAAGUGUUUUAUUCAAAUUGCAUGCUACUCUGGUAUAUUGAUCCCUCGAAAAUGGUGAGUAAUGGCUCACACCUUACUUGAGCGACCCCUGAGCCAUCCGAUCUGUUUUUCUAGUAAUUCAAUGCACAUCCCCUGUUUCUGCAGAGGAUUUGCAGACUAUGAUCGGAAAAUAGAAGAUAAGUCCAACUAACUGGGUGAUUUUCAAUCGGACGCGCAGGAUCCCUGUUGCCAAAUAUUUUGUUUUCAUCUGUCGCCUAAGAUUCACGGAAUAAGCGGAAAAUCCCGUGUCAAUCGAUACCCUUGUUGAUGAAAUCGGACGGGGGAAUUUCCCAACAGUGCAGAUUUUUUUUUAAUGUCAAUUUGUAGUUUUUUUCGAGCCUAGAGAAAUCAAAGCUUAGUGUGUGAGAUUUAAGUCA